AUUGAACGCUGGCGGCAGGCUUAACACAUGCAAGUCGAGCGGAUGACGGGAGCUUGCUCCUUGAUUCAGCGGCGGACGGGUGAGUAAUACCUAGGAAUCUGCCUGAUAGUGGGGGACAACGUUUCGAAAGGAACGCUAAUACCGCAUACGUCCUACGGGAGACAGCAGGGGACCUUCGGGCCUUGCGCUAUCAGAUGAGCCUAGGUCGGAUUAGCUAGUUGGUGAGGUAAUGGCUCACCAAGGCGACGAUCCGUAACUGGUCUGGGAGGAUGAUCAGUCACACUGGAACUGAGACACGGUCCAGACUCCUACGGGAGGGAGCAGUGGGGAAUAUUGGACAAUGGGCGAAAGCCUGAUCCAGCCAUGCCGCGUGUGUGAAGAAGGUCUUCGGAUUGUAAAGCACUUUAAGUUGGGGGGAAGGGCAGUAAGCUAAUACCUUGCUGUUUUGACGUUACCGACAGAAUAAGCACCGGCUAACUCUGUGCCAGCCGCCGCCGUAAAAC
rnacentral:rRNA from 1 species